CCUGGUUGCUGAACAAAUUGCUUAUAAGUUUUGACAAAUAAAAUAUUUUUCUUCAAAGAUAACAUAGCCAAAGCUUUAUUACAGUCUAUUACAGUUUAUUUUGUGUCAUCAAAAUCUAUGGGUCUUGGCAAAAUUGCUGAAACUAUUAUCUUUAAAGAAGGAAAAACAUUGCAAAUAAAAUCAAUUAAAUUAUUAUAAUAUUGAACAAUCAAUUUACUGGAUAAACCAUUCCCAACAUCGUUUGUGCCUACAUGCAAUAACAAAUGUGUAUAUUUUCUUAAAAGUGAUUUGUUGUCUUUUACAAAUUGUUGAAGAGUGUAUAUAUUAGCACCAGAUAUAGCAUUGCAAUCCAGCCAGUUAAUAUUAUUGACAUAUUUACAAGUGGAAUCUGACAGCAACAAAACCUUAUUUUUUGACACAAAGUCUACAAAAAAUAAAAUAAGAUAAGGUAAACAAACAAUAUUAAUUCAGAAUUUCAUCAGCCAUAGCUCGUGAAAUAGACAAUUUGUCAUGUAAGUCAAACUCUAAAUAAACUUUAUAUGCGUCACUACGCCAAUCCCCGUGAAAUUGUAUUAACUCGGAAGGAACUUUACUGUGAAAAGCCCAUGUAGCCCCUCCUCUGCGAAAAGAAUGA
rnacentral:lncRNA from 1 species